UACGUAGGGGGCAAGCGUUGUCCGGAAUCAUUGGGCGUAAAGCGCGUGUAGGCGGCCCGGUAAGUCCGCUGUGAAAGUCGGGGGCUCAACCCUCGAAUGCCGGUGGAUACUGUCGGGCUAGAGUGCGGGAGAGGCGAGUGGAAUUCCUGGUGUAGCGGUGAAAUGCGCAGAUAUCUGGAGGAAUACCGGUGGCGAAGGCGGCAUCCUGGACCGACAUUGACGCUGAACGGCGAAAGCUAGGGGAGCAAACGGG
rnacentral:rRNA from 1 species